AAGGCUUUAACUUAAUAAAAGUGCUUGAUUUGCAUUCAGAAGAUGAGAAUUAGUAAUUCUCAAGUCUUA
rnacentral:tRNA from 1 species